GAUGAACGCUGGCGGCGUGCCUAAUACAUGCAAGUCGAGCGAACUUUUGGGAGCUUGCUCCCAAAAGUUAGCGGCGGACGGGUGAGUAACAAGUGGGUAACCUGCCUGUAAGACUGGGAUAACUUCGGGAAACCGGAGCUAAUACCGGAUAACAUUGAAGACUACAUGGCCUUCAAUUAAAAGGUGGCUUUUAGCUACCACUUACAGAUGGACCCGCGGCGCAUUAGCUAGUUGGUGGGGUAACGGCUCACCAAGGCGACGAUGCGUAGCCGACCUGAGAGGGUGGUCGGCCACACUGGGAGUGAGGCACGCCCCAUACUCCUACGGGAGGCAGCAGUAGGGAAUCUGCCGCAAUGGACGAGAGUCUUACGGAGCAACGCCGCGUGAGCGAAGAAGGCCUUCGGGUCGUAAAGCUCUGUUGUUAGGGAAGAACAAGUAUCGUUCGAAUAGGGCGGUACCUUGACGGUACCUAACCAGAAAGCCACGGCUAACUACGUG
rnacentral:rRNA from 1 species